rnacentral:rRNA from 1 species
AGUGAACGCUGGCGGCGUGCCUUACACAUGCAAGUCGAACGGCAGCACGGGCUUCGGUCUGGGGGCGAGUGGCGAACGGGGGAGUAAUGUAUCGGAACGUAACGUUGAGUGGGGGAUCACGUAGGUAAAGUUACGCUAAUACCGCAUAUUCCCUCCGGAGGAAAGCAGGGGACCGCAAGGCCUCGAGCUAUUUGAGCGGCCGAUGUCAGAUUAGCUAGUUAGGGGGGUAAAAGCUCACCAAGGCGACGAUCUGUAGCGGGUCUGUGAGGAUGAUCCGCCACACUGGAACUGAGACACGGUCCAGACUCCUACGGGAGGCAGCAGUGGGGAAUUUUGGACAAUGGGGGCAACCCUGAUCCAGCCAUGCCGCGUGAGUGAAGAAGGCCUUCGGGUUGUAAAGCUCUUUCGGCCGGGAAAAAAUCGCAUGGAUUAAUACUCUGUGUGGAUGAUGGUACCGGAAUAAGAAGCACCGGCUAACUACGUGCCAGCCGCCGCGGUAACAC